rnacentral:hammerhead_ribozyme from 1 species
GUAAGCUGACGAGCCCCAAAAAGGACGAAACGCGCGUCCUGGAU